rnacentral:rRNA from 1 species
GACGAACGCUGGCGGCGUGCUUAACACAUGCAAGUCGAACGGAAAGGCCCUGCUUUUGUGGGGUGCUCGAGUGGCGAACGGGUGAGUAACACGUGAGUAACCUGCCCUUGACUUUGGGAUAACUUCAGGAAACUGGGGCUAAUACCGGAUAGGAGCUCCUGCUGCAUGGUGGGGGUUGGAAAGUUUCGGCGGUUGGGGAUGGACUCGCGGCUUAUCAGCUUGUUGGUGGGGUAGUGGCUUACCAAGGCUUUGACGGGUAGCCGGCCUGAGAGGGUGACCGGACAGAGUGGGGGCGGGCGGCGGCCGACAGCGCGGGGGGGGGGGGCGGGGGGGUAAGUGGGUGAGUGGGCGGGAGCCGGCUGCAGCCGGGCGGCGGGGGGGAGGACGGCCUGCGGGUUGAAACCGGCUGUCGGCUGGGGAGAGGCGGGAGGGGGAGUAGGGGGAAAGGAGGACCGGCCUAACUGCGUGCCAGCGGCCGGGGUAAGAGUCGGAGGAGCAUGCGUCAGACC